CCACUUUGAUUGCUUUAAAACAUCUACUACACUUGAAGGGGCACUUGAGUAAAGGCUUAUGAAUAUACCGUCGUUCCCAGAUCUCGAUGUGUGGGGGGUGGCAGAUGAAAUAAGAUAGCUUUGAAAUGCCAGCAUGAGCUAGCAAAUACUGCAGGAAGAGACUUCUGAGAGCAGUCGUCUCCAUCACCUCUCAAACCCCCUCCACGAAAGCGGGCCUUAUUUGUUUUAUUUGCGUUUAGCAAAUCGAGGGCGAGAGAGGGGAAGGAUAAACAAGGCCACAAACAUAAAUAAACGGGGGGGGGGGGAGAAAGAGAUGGAGAAGUGAGAAAAGAAGGAAAGAGAGAUUGUCAAGCUUGGGAGAUGCAAAGCGGUCGGGCUUUCACAUUCCACGUGAAUUCAGAUAUUCCCCCCCCCCCCCCCCCGCCCCCGUCAAUGGGGCUGAAAGCAAAAGCGCACACGCUGAUGGGGAACGGCCAGGGGAUUGAACACAGGGAAGGCUGCAGCAUGGCGCCUGUGGCCUACGCGUGGUUCCCAUUACCGGGGGGGGGGGGGGGGCAGGGAUAGGUGAGAAACCCCGCGCUCACUCGGCCCUGAGGCCUAACCGUCACUUCACACUUUGCUCACAUGAACAGAGAGAGAUAAUUUUAAAAAAUUGAACCGGAUUUCAAAGGAUGAGAUGCCGUUGGACUGACUGAGAUACUCCAGCACUUUCAGUAAGACCUCCUCAGCAAAUACUGAAUCUUUCCAAUUUGAAAAGUUAUGAUGUUUUCAAAAAUGACCCUCUCCAGCCAGGUGCACAAGUAGCUCCCAGAGACAAAAAUCAGCAAAACUUUCGAAAUGAUUCACACUGGUUCAACUCUCGUAUACCUCAAAAUGAGAAAUAUGAAUAACGUGCAUAACUCACUGGAACUGUCAAAUCUCGAGUCUCCAAUGUGGGAAUCGCAGGACGGCAUCUUCAAUGACCUCUGUUCAAACAUAGAAACUAAAGAAUUUGACGUCUUGACAAGGACAUGCAGAACAACAUAUGCAACUGAUGACAUCCUGCACAAAUCUGGGCAAUAACAAAGUCCUUUACUCUUCUUUGCUGUUUCCAUUGGGAAAAUAGUGAAGUUGUUUUUGAAGAGAGACAUCAGUGAUUUGCUUCAUCAAAUGCCAACUCAAAACUGGCCAGUGUUACUGAUGUCCCACUGACAUCCUGGAAGGAGGGUCAACUCUCCUGCAUGCAGGAUUGAAGUGAUUGAGAGUGGCUUGCGAGUCUGAUGCAGACUGGGCAGCAACAUUGCAGUCAUUGCCUGAAGCCAACUCUAAAGCAUUUUGGCAAAGCCUCUGCAAAAUCAGCUGCGAUGGACUGAACAGUGUUUGAAGAAAUGCAGUUACUAUUACUGUACAGACUGGCUUGCUGUAGUUCAUUUCAGCUCCCCCCACCCACCAACAAGUGCUGUAAGUGCCGUUGUGUGCAGUCCGUUGCAGCCAUUAAACAUAUAACUGAAAGAUGGUUUCAGGAAUGAUGCAGCUGAAAAUGUGUGGAUUUUCAGAACUGGGAGACAGCCAACUACUGAAAGAAGCAGAAUGAAAGAUAAGCAGCUGUCUGUGAAGUUGAAUUUCUGAGUAAAUCAAAAUUGCUGUGCAUUUUCCACUCCCGACAAAUGCGGAAAUGAAAGGAAUGAUCUAGACUGGAUUCAAAUUUAUCCAUUCAGUAGCAAAUAUAUGAAAUAGUCACAGGAUUAAUUUAAAAACCUGAGCAUAUUAGUGUAGCAACCCUUCCAUCAGUGCUGGGGAAAGAGUGUUCCAAAUUGUACUGCAGCAGGGGACACACCAAGGAGCUGAAAAGGCAACAGGAAAGAUUUUGCAGACUUUGAAGACAAUUUUGAACUCUGCACUGAUGUGACUCAUGAAUGGUAUCAGCUUGAGUCUCUGAAUGAGAACAGGUAAAGCUUUGCAUUAUGCUCAGUGACAUUCCAGGCUGAAUGAAAUUGACAUUAUUAAAAAAAGAAAAAUUAUUUGCAGAAGAAUGAGCAGAAACAUGGGGUAGGAUGAAAAGAUUGCACAAGAUAUCACACAAAGGAAAUGGGAGAUACAGAGGUCUAACUGUAAAGCAUUAAAUCAAUUGACAGAAAGGAUUUCGCUUGAAAUAAGCUAAAUGAGCCAAUAAAGAUGGCUGCUAGAGAGAUGUCAGUUGAUGAGUUCAACAAAUCACUCUACACCAUACAACAGUUUGGCAUCAUCAGGUCAAAAGAUAAUAAAAACAGCUGUUACAAUGGAGGCCACAGAAGGAGAGUGUCAAGUAGCUGUAAAGUAUAAGGUCGACAUCAGUACUUUGUUCAAUAUAAUUAGCUUCACAGACCAAGUGGCUCAAGAUGGUAACCAGGAAUGAAGAUCUUAAAAAUGACCUUUAAGUUAUCUGAUGAAGCCAAGAGGUCAAAUGGAGUUGAGGUCCAAUGCAAUCGGAAUAAAGAAGACCUCGAAUUCCAGAUAGCAGACAUUAAGCAAAAUCCUCUCAAUCCAGCUGAAGCAAGUCUAAAACUUGGAUUAGUAGCCCUGAACAUGUCAGAAGAGAUUUAGGAACAGAAACAGAAACAGGCGAUUCAGCCCAUUGAGCCUGCUCCAGUGUUCAGUAUGGUCUUGGCUGAUUGAAUGCUUCAGUAUUUUGGAUGCUUGUUGGACUUCUCGAUCAAUUCCGUCACAAAUUGCGCCAAAGCCCAUGUCACUCAGACCCUUGUAGGAUUUCACCCUAUGUAGGUAAAGCUUAUGCAGAGACUGAUGAAACCUGACCAGAGUUAAUACUGUUAACUGUGUUCUGUUCGUGGUGUCAAAUGUAGAUCAUUGUGUGUUGGGUAACGUGUAAGAUGUAACCGCAAAUGAUAUUGCAUGCAAUGUUGUUUUGUUUUCUCAUGUAAAGCGGGAUGUUUGGAGAAAUGCAGUUGCUCUUAGGGCUGGCUUGCUAUUGUCAUGUGACUUCUACCUUUGUUGGAAGCACCAAUGUAUGUGGUUUUUGGCUGCCUUAAACUCAUAUCAUUUGAAAUAGAUAGUGUCUCGAAGGUUAAAAUGCAUCUUC